rnacentral:tmRNA from 1 species
GGGGCCGACUUGGAUUUGACUGCAACUGCGGUAGAUAUACAAGCAUGUCGAGAAAUGCAAUAUACCUCGCUAAAAGUAUUUGUAACAUGAAUAAUUGACAACAAUAAUUCAUACGCAUUGGCUGCGUAAUCUGAACUUAGUUUAGAUUCGCUUAGUUCACCUGAAGUAUAGUAAGGGAACCUUGCUGUCUGCCAACCUUUUGAUCAUUAAGGGAGGACUACAGGCAUCAUUUUUAUGAUCUGGCCAUGACGGUGCUGCGACGUUUUGGUGAGAUAAAGUAGCUUAGGUCUGUUGUGGGGUGUUUGUGCCCAGCAACCUUCUGAAAUUCAAUCACAAAAUAAGCAUGUAGAACCAAUAUAGACUCAUUGUUAGGACGAGGGUUCGAUCCCCUCCGGCUCCACAA